GCCCACACAAUACAACUCUUCUAAUCAUUAAAUAAUAGAAACAACUAAAUAAAUUUUAACAAAUAACAAGUACAGAAAUGGAAAUAUAAAUUAAUAAAAGUAAAUUUUAAUAACUGUACCUUGUGCAUUAUGGUUUUACAAGAAAAAAAUUUAAAAUUUAAAUCCCGAAUUCUAAGUGAGAUGUUAAACUGCUGUUAUGAACCCAUUAAUAACUGUAGAAAAAGUUUUAAGAGACAGUUUAACAGAGGCUACAUACCAUCCGCACAAGAAUAUAGCUGGUUUUCAACAAAAAUUAUACAUUAAACCAUAUAGUUAUACUAUAGUGUAAUAUUAUUGAGGAUAAGCCCAAUAAUUGUAGUAAUAAACCAAUAAACCAACAUUUUAUCAUAGGCCUAAAAUCAGCCAACUAAAAUACUUCACCGUAAAAUAAGUGGAAUAAUUAAUAAACAAAAAUACUAAAUAAAGUUGAAAUAGUGGGAAAAUCCCCAACCCGCCUAUAAUAUGUAAAAAUAAGUAUUAUGAAAAUAAACCAAAAACUACCUAGUUACUAACAACACAUACAAAACAAUAAUUAAUUAAGGAACUCGGCAAACCCUUAUUUCGACUGUUUAACAAAAACAUUGUCUCAUGAACUAAAUAUGAGAUAAUACCUGCCCAGUGACAACGUUCAACGGCCGCGGUAUCCUAACCGUGCAAAGGUAGCAUAAUCAUUUGCCUAUUAAUUGUAGGCUAGAAUGAACGGGCUAACGAAAUAAAGACUGUCUCAAUUAAUAACCUAAAAAUUAUUAUCUAUCUGAAGAAAGGUAGAUAAACUCGAAGGACAAGAAGACCCUAUAGAGCUUAAUUUUACUUAUAGAAUCACACUAUAAAAAUAUUCGGUUGGGGCGACCCCGGGCAAAACAAUCACCCACUACACACAAGAUAAAUUAAUCAACUAAUUGACCCUUUAAAGAUCAAAAGACCAAGCUACCUUAGGGAUAACAGGCUAAUCCCACUCAAGAGUCCUUAUCAACAGUGGGGUUUGGCACCUCGAUGUUGGCUUAGGGCAUCUACACAGCGCAAAAGCUGUAUAAAGAUGGUUUGUUCAACCAGUAACUUCCCUACAUGAGCUGAGUUCAGACCGGCGUAAGCCAGGUUAGCUUCUAUCCUCGACAAUCAAAUCUGCUCCCAGUACGAAAGGACCUGAAUAGAGUAAUAGUUAUAUAAAAGAAUACAUAUAAUUAAAUAUAAGUAAUACAUCCCAAACACUAUG
rnacentral:rRNA from 1 species